UCCUGAAUAGUAAUGAACCAGGAGCGAUCAAAACAAAUGUGAACAUUAGCUCCUGAAUCCAACCACCAAUCAAGGUUAGAGGAAAUAAAAUUAAUUUUAGGAUUAAAGCUUACUAACCUAAAGGUGGUAUCUUCUGGAUCUUCAACUAUAUGAGCUUGAGGUCCCGAGGAACCAGAAGAUUUACGAAAGGGUUCCUUCUUCCGGUGAUAAUAGUCUCUCACCAGAUGAUUAAUCCUUCCGCAUAC
rnacentral:lncRNA from 1 species